rnacentral:rRNA from 1 species
UACGGAGGGUGCGAGCGUUGUCCGGAAUCACUGGGCGUAAAGGGCGCGUAGGCGGCAUGCCAAGCGUGUGGUGAAAGCCCGGGGCUCAACCCCGGGUCGGCCGUGCGGACUGGCGUGCUUGAGCACUGUAGGGGCGGGUGGAAUUCCGGGUGUAGCGGUGGAAUGCGUAGAGAUCCGGAAGAACACCGGUGGCGAAGGCGGCCCGCUGGGCAGGAAGGCUCGCAAGAGCCGGCUGACGCUGAGGCGCGACAGCGUGGGGAGCAAACAGG